GAGUAACACGUGGGAAACCUGCCCAGAAGCGGGGGAUAACACCUGGAAACAGAUGCUAAUACCGCAUAACAACUUGGACCGCAUGGUCCGAGUUUGAAAGAUGGCUUCGGCUAUCACUUUUGGAUGGUCCCGCGGCGUAUUAGCUAGAUGGUGGGGUAACGGCUCACCAUGGCAAUGAUACGUAGCCGACCUGAGAGGGUAAUCGGCCACAUUGGGACUGAGACACGGCCCAAACUCCUACGGGAGGCAGCAGUAGGGAAUCUUCCACAAUGGACGAAAGUCUGAUGGAGCAACGCCGCGUGAGUGAAGAAGGGUUUCGGCUCGUAAAACUCUGUUGUUAAAGAAGAACAUAUCUGAGAGUAACUGUUCAGGUAUUGACGGUAUUUAACCAGAAAGCCACGGCUAACUACGUGCCAGCAGCCGCGGUAAUACGUAGGUGGCAAGCGUUGUCCGGAUUUAUUGGGCGUAAAGCGAGCGCAGGCGGUUUUUUAAGUCUGAUGUGAAAGCCUUCGGCUCAACCGAAGAAGUGCAUCGGAAACUGGGAAACUUGAGUGCAGAAGAGGACAGUGGAACUCCAUGUGUAGCGGUGAAAUGCGUAGAUAUAUGGAAGAACACCAGUGGCGAAGGCGGCUGUCUGGUCUGUAACUGACGCUGAGGCUCGAAAGUAUGGGUAGCAAACAGGAUUAGAUACCCUGGUAGUCCAUACCGUAAACGAUGAAUGCUAAGUGUUGGAGGGUUUCCGCCCUUCAGUGCUGCAGCUAACGCAUUAAGCAUUCCGCCUGGGGAGUACGGCCGCAAGGCUGAAACUCAAAGGAAUUGACGGGGGCCCGCACAAGCGGUGGAGCAUGUGGUUUAAUUCGAAGCUACGCGAAGAACCUUACCAGGUCUUGACAUACUAUGCAAAUCUAAGAGAUUAGACGUUCCCUUCGGGGACAUGGAUACAGGUGGUGCAUGGUUGUCGUCAGCUCGUGUCGUGAGAUGUUGGGUUAAGUCCCGCAACGAGCGCAACCCUUAUUAUCAGUUGCCAGCAUUAAGUUGGGCACUCUGGUGAGACUGCCGGUGACAAACCGGAGGAAGGUGGGGAUGACGUCAAAUCAUCAUGCCCCUUAUGACCUGGGCUACACACGUGCUACAAUGGAUGGUACAACGAGUUGCGAACUCGCGAGAGUAAGCUAAUCUCUUAAAGCCAUUCUCAGUUCGGAUUGUAGGCUGCAACUCGCCUACAUGAAGUCGGAAUCGCUAGUAAUCGCGGAUCAGCAUGCCGCGGUGAAUACGUUCCCGGGCCUUGUACACACCGCCCGUCACACCAUGAGAGUUUGUAACACCCAAAGUCGGUGGGGUAACCUUUUAGGAACCAGCCGCCUAAGGUGGGACAGAUGAUUAGGGUGAAGUCGUAACAAGGU
rnacentral:rRNA from 1 species